UUUGUAGUAUACACAGAUGUCACAUUAUAAAGCUGUACACCUGAAACUUUAUAUAAUAAUAAUAAAAAAAUCAACUCCACCAUCCCAUGCCCUCCAGCCCUCACUCCAAGGGACUCUUUGGGGGCUGGUGGAUGCCAGGAAGGGUGGGGCUGGCUUCCAGCCAUGUGCAGCCUCAUAGUUGGUCACUGUAGGCCAGCGGGUGGCCAUGUCGCUGGUCAGGAGCCCUUCUCAGGGCAGAUGCUUGUUUAUCAUCUUUCUGUGCUCGUCUGUACUUGUGCGUCAGCACAUUCUGCCCCGACAGUCCAGCACAGUCAUGACACAGAUGUUUGACUUCAGGCUUCGGGGGCUGGAGUGCACAUGGCAAGAAUUCUGCAGCACCCUCCCAGCCCUGGACUCCUGCUGGGGGAGAGCAUGCAGGGAUGACCUUGGGUCCAGUGAGCGGCUCUGCUGCUCUCCCAGGAAGGAAUCUGUGCCUGGCCGUCCCUACGUCUUCUCAUGCCAGCGAUGCUGGCAGCCAGCACUGUAGUGGUAGUAAUCCAGCAGGUCCUUAGUACUCACAGGCAGCAUUAGUGCCGGCUCACCCGCAGUGUGUGCCAGCCCUGUGCUGAGUGCAUUGUGAGCAUUUGCUGGUUUAAUCCUCACAAUGACCCUUUGAGAUGGGUAUGAUGAUUACUCCUAUAUUGCAAAUGAGAAAACCGUCUCUUAAGACAGCCGAGUAGAGUAUCUUGAGGUAGGAGGGUGCUGUUAUUUUCUCUUUAAGAGAGAUGAUGCUUCCUUUAAAGCACAGAUUCUCAGCUGAGGGCCAUUUUGCCUUCCAGGGGACAUUCAGCAACAUGGGGGGGGCCAUUUCUGCUUGUCACAGUUUGCGGAGGCUUUGGCUGCUGUCAUCUUGUGGGUGUAGGCCAGGGAUGCUGCUCAACUUCCCUACUGCACACAGGACAGACCCCCAUACAAAGAGCUAUCCAGCCCCAAACAUCAGUAGUGGAGGGUUGAGAAACUGAUCUAAAGAGGAUAAGAAACAGUACUCAACCUUUCACCCAGUUUGAUAUCAUUAGCUUCUGCUCAACCCCUGCUUGUACUCAUUGGUGCAAUUCACCAUCUAUUUCUGGUUCUCCUACUGAACAUGUGGCAGGCUUGGUCUUUGCUAACUUCUUGAAGUUAGGAGGAGAUGUGACUUGUGUUGGCCAAUGAACUGUAAGUAAGAAGUAACGUGACACUUUGGGGUGGCAACCUGCAAGAGCUCGGGUACAAUUUGCCACAUUCCUUCCCCCGUCCUGUGGCGCCCACCAACAUUCCCAGAUGUGGAGGCACCACUGGCCUGUCCUGGAGUGAGGAGGCCAAGGGCAGAGCUCCCGGUCAAUGCCUGUGAUGUGCAGUGUGAAGAGAUAACCUCCCAGAGUUCAGCGUUGCCUGUUCCCACAGCAUAGCCUGUCCGAUCCUGACUGACGUAUUCUCGACAGAACAAAAAUAAGGAGAAGUUAGGACUUGGAUUAGGCAGGUGGUAUUGGUGUCACCAAGGAAUUACAAUCGGCCAUGUCUCUAUCCAGUUUUCUGAUGUAAACAAUUGUCUUCAGUCUCUCUGGUGGCACCAGGCAAACAUAGCUGAAGUCUUGGCCCACCUACUGUGGUGAGGGAUUUGGCUGAGAGGCUGCCCGGAGCCCUGCUGAGGAUCAGCCUUCAUCUCCUGCCCAUAGCCGCCUCACCAGAACCUCCAGUUUGGGGAUGAUACCAAAAGAUACUGCUAUGAUCACUGUUGGAACGUCUCUUGGUAAGCCUGUGUGUGCACGUCUGUAUGCUUUGUGUUGGUGGAAUCGUGUCAUCUUAUUCCAUUGUUGUAUCAGCCUUGUCAGCAGGUGGGUAUAUUUGGCUCAGCUCAGGAUGUGUGGGAAUCUUGGCUCACUGUCCUGCCUCUGUACGUACCCCUUGGGUCAUCUCUGAGCUCCUACUGGUGCCACAUCACUUUGUCAGGUGUGAGAAUUAGACACUAAAGCUUGUGUGCUGCACAUAGGUAACUCCAGGUAGGAUAUGUAAGUGGUGUGUUGGGGGCACAGUAUGUACCUCACAGUCCUCCAGGUGGAUCCAAAUGCCUAGCCCCUUAAAGUUUUGGUGUCUGCCUGCAGCAUUUCCUCCCAAGUGGCUUUGGUGCCCCUCCAGCAUAUUGAGUGGAGAAUGGUCAGGAAGGCUGAGGCCACAGCCGAGUCUCCUGGCCCCUCUUUGCAGUGCAGCUAAGCUCUUAAUGUGUUUUCAUAAUUAAAGCAG